AGAGUUUGAUCCUGGCUCAGAUUGAACGCUGGCGGCAGGCCUAACAAUGCAAGUCGAACGGUAACAGAAAGCAGCUUGCUGCUUUGCUGACGAGUGGCGGACGGGUGAGUAAUGUCUGGGAAACUGCCCGAUGGAGGGGGAUAACUACUGGAAACGGUAGCUAAUACCGCAUAACGUCGCAAGACCAAAGAGGGGGACCUUCGGGCCUCUUGCCAUCGGAUGUGCCCAGAUGGGAUUAGCUAGUAGGUGGGGUAAAGGCUCACCUAGGCGACGAUCCCUAGCUGGUCUGAGAGGAUGACCAGCCACACUGGAACUGAGACACGGUCCAGACUCCUACGGGAGGCAGCAGUGGGGAAUAUUGCACAAUGGGCGCAAGCCUGAUGCAGCCAUGCCGCGUGUAUGAAGAAGGCCUUCGGGUUGUAAAGUACUUUCAGCGGGGAGGAAGGGAGUAAAGUUAAUACCUUUGCUCAUUGACGUUACCCGCAGAAGAAGCACCGGCUAACUCCGUGCCAGCAGCCGCGGUAAUACGGAGGGUGCAAGCGUUAAUCGGAAUUACUGGGCGUAAAGCGCACGCAGGCGGUUUGUUAAGUCAGAUGUGAAAUCCCCGGGCUCAACCUGGGAACUGCAUCUGAUACUGGCAAGCUUGAGUCUCGUAGAGGGGGGUAGAAUUCCAGGUGUAGCGGUGAAAUGCGUAGAGAUCUGGAGGAAUACCGGUGGCGAGGCGGCCCCCUGGACGAAGACUGACGCUCAGUGCGAAAGCGUGGGGAGCAACAGAAUUAGAUACUCUGGUGUCCCGCCGU
rnacentral:rRNA from 1 species